rnacentral:rRNA from 1 species
UGCCUGGGAGUGGGGGAUAACGCUCGGAAACGGACGCGAAUACCGCAUACGUCCUACGGGAGAAAGCAGGGGACCUUCGGGCCUUGCGCUAUCAGAUGAGCCUAGGUCGGAUUAGCUAGUUGGUGAGGUAAUGGCUCACCAAGGCGACGAUCCGGAACUGGUCUGAGAGGAUGAUCAGUCCCACUGGAACUGAGACACGGUCCAGACUCCUACGGGAGGCAGCAGUGGGGAAUAUUGGACAAUGGGCGAAAGCCUGAUCCAGCCAUGCCGCGUGUGUGAAGAAGGUCUUCGGAUUGUAAAGCACUUUAA